AGAUUGAACGCUGGCGGCAUGCCUUACACAUGCAAGUCGAACGGCAGCACGGGAGCAAUCCUGGUGGCGAGUGGCGAACGGGUGAGUAAUACAUCGGAACGUGCCCAAUCGUGGGGGAUAACGCAGCGAAAGCUGUGCUAAUACCGCAUAAGAUCUACGGAUGAAAGCAGGGGAUCGCAAGACCUUGCGCGAAUGGAGCGGCCGAUGGCAGAUUAGGUUGUUGGUGAGGUAAAAGCUCACCAAGCCGACGAUCUGUAGCUGGUUUGAGAGAACGACCAGCCACACUGGACUGAGACACGGCCCAGACUCCUACGGAGCAGCAGGUGGGGAACUUUUGGACAAGUGGGACGAAAGCCUGACUCCAGCAA
rnacentral:rRNA from 1 species